ACGAGAUCGAGCAGGCGCGGGUCCAUUUUGGUCGGCUCGUUUCGCCGCCAGUCGCGCAGGAAGCGAUUGAUCUGCUGCAGACCCUUCUGAUCGUAGCGACCGUUGCGCUU
rnacentral:sRNA from 1 species